UAGGAUGAUUGAAAUUUUUAU
rnacentral:piRNA from 1 species